rnacentral:rRNA from 1 species
UACGUAGGGAGCAAGCGUUGUCCGGAAUCAUUGGGCGUAAAGCGCGCGUAGGCGGCCUCAUAAGUCCGUUGUGAAAGUCAAAGGCUCAACCUUUGAAAGCCGAUGGAUACUGUGAGGCUAGAGUCCGGAAGAGGCGAGUGCAAUUCCUGGUGUAGCGGUGGAAUGCGCAGAUAUCAGGAGGAACACCAAUAGCGAAGGCAGCUCGCUGGGACGGUACUGACGCUAAGGCGCGAAAGCGUGGGGAGCGAACAGG